CCAGAGAGAGUCUUUAAAAAAGACCGCCGAAGAGGCAAGCUCGGAAGCCGGGUGAAACUUUCAGGCAAAAGGACGGGGAA
rnacentral:ncRNA from 1 species